rnacentral:rRNA from 1 species
GACGAACGCUGGCGGCGUGCUUAACACAUGCAAGUCGAACGGUGAGGCUCCAGCUUGCUGGAGUGGAUCAGUGGCGAACGGGUGAGUAACACGUGAGCAACCUGCCCCUGACUCUGGAAUAAGCGCUGGAAACGGCGUCUAAUACUGGAUACGAGAAGGGUCCGCAUGGGCACUUUCUGGAAAGUUUUUCGGUUGGGGAUGGGCUCGCGGCCUUUCAGCUUGUUGGUGAGGUAAUGGCUCACCAAGGCGACGACGGGUAGCCGGCCUGAGAGGGCGACCGGCCACACUGGGACUGAGACACGGCCCAGACUCCUACGGGAGGCAGCAGUGGGGAAUAUUGCACAAUGGGCGAAAGCCUGAUGCAGCGACGCCGCGUGAGGGAUGACGGCCUUCGGGUUGUAAACCUCUUUCAGCAGGGAAGAAGCGAAAGUGACGGUACCUGCAGAAGAAGCACCGGCUAACUACGUG